GUUGUUCGCGAUGAGUGCAAUCUUAAUAUUAUCCGCAAUUCUAAGGCAAAGGAAAAGGAAAAGGAAAAGGCCAAGGCAAUGUCUAAAGGAAAAGAAAAGGCAACUUUUUUUGACAAAGGAAAGGAAAACGCAUGUCCAAUGGUAUAUAUUCAACAUUUU